ACAGCAGCCUCUAAAUAAAACACAAACGCUCUUGCGGCCCAAUACAUAAGUCUUGUUUUCAUUUUAGUGUGGUUUAACGGCGUUUUAUUAUAUUUAGAGUUUUCGAUUGAAGGAACUGGUGGAGUUUUCUGCACUGAAAUUGCACUUUUCUUGCAGAAGUGUUGUCAAAACGCCGACACCAUGUUCCAUUGAUUGGAACUGCAAUAAAAAAGUGCAAUUCCAGUGCAAUUUCGGGGCAGAGAUUUGGCACCGAAAAAAUUGUCGGUGGAGCCAGUGCACUCACCAACACAGACCAACACCAAUCACGCAAACGUCAAAGCAAUGUUCAAAAUGGAUGGGUAAACAAACCGGUUAUCGCAGAAAACGACAGGGAUAGUACCCUUCUGUCGGAAUCGUAUUUGGUGCUCAUUGGUUUGCAGGCUUUAGACUUCAAUUCUGUCAACUAGAGGUAUGCGUUUUAUUGAUUAGUGGCUCCCGUUUCCCGGACGUGGAUUACAACCGAAGGCUGGAAUUUCCCCAAAAUAGCGGUUCCGAAGCGGCGAUCAUCUCCAGAGCCGCCACCACCUCUACGUAAAGAAGCAGUUCAGUGUGAACCAAAAAAGGGAACCGUCGAACAAGACGAAACCGUCGCCCGUUAUCACUAUCAACGAGAAGGAUUACCAGGUUCUGAAAAGCUCGGUUCCGGUGGCUCCAGUUUAGUUUUCGGCCAAACAAAUGGGGACGGGCGUUGAAUGAGCGUUGAAGUUGGUGAAGCUCGAAGGCGAUUCCAGCAUAGUAGAAGGCUACUUAAACGGAACGAAACUGUUGGCGAAAUUGCAAGGGAAUGAAAAUGUAGUAGCGCUGUAUGACUAUUGUCAUGUUCCGGAGUCUAACCAACUAAACCUGGUAAUGGAAAAGGGUGAUAAUUAUCUGCACAAAAUCCUGCAAAGCUACCGCAAGGAUAUCCCGCUGUACACGGUCAUGCAUAUUUGGUACCAGAUAGUGCAGUGUGUGCACUACAUUCACGAGCACAGUGUCAUCCAUCUGAAUCUCAAACCGGCUAACUUUCUGAUGGCAACCUGAUUGACUUUGGCAUCGCCAGCAAUAUCUCCUUCGACUCCACCAGUAUUAUGAAGUUUUCCCAAGCGGGCAUAUUCAACUAUAUCAGCCCGGAAGCUCUGAUUGACACUUGCACGGAGAAUCUGAUCACUGGGGUGCAUACUGUAUUUACUGCUGUAUAAGAGGACUCCAUUUGCCCACAUCAAGAACAACUACAAGGUAAAUGUUAUCAACAAACCCAACACGACUAUUGAUUUUCCGACGUUGCCCAGUUAUUAUCCGCCGACUUCGCUCGAAAUGCUGCAGCGAUGUCUCAAGUACGAUCCAAAGCCGAGAGCUUUGACGGCGGAUUUGCUCGACUAGCCGUUUGAUAUGGUGAUUGGGAAAUGAUGCUGUAACAACUUUACAUAUGUGUAUGUCUUAUUUUAUUUGGAACGAAAUAUAUUAUGUAUUUACGUAUUUGAUUGGUUGUUUUCCACACCUCUUCCAUCAGAUCUUUGAGUGUGACCUCCUCCAAGUUCUCUUUUAGCUUUUCUUCCGGCAUUCGCGCUACAUGUUGGUAUACUUGGUACAGUUCGUGGUGGCAGAAAUCACUAACGAACCGAUACAUACACAGGAGUAAAAUGUUGCGAAAGUGGCUUGGAAUUCUAAUGGUCGAUGUUCUAGAUCCUCUGCAUAACCGACUCGAGUCGCAAGGAACCAAUUUGCCGGGAGUGACACCACUGCUUGAUGAGUAGCAUUCAUGGAAUGCAUCUAGUAAAUAGUGGAAUACUGUUGGUUCAGAACCUUCGGAAAGAAUUCAUGGUUUGGUUCAGAAGCAGAACAGGAAAAGUUACUGAUAAUAUCUAAUGGAGUUUAAGCAGUGAACGUGAAUAGAGUGUUUCGAUUUCGUUCGACAAGGUCAAAAGGCAAACCCUUAAAAUUAUAUUCUGGCGUACGAAGAGUAGGUGGAAGGCUGGUUGGGCAACAUGUUAUGCUAUGGGAUUAUUAUUUGAUUAUGUGAAGAAUACAUCCAAUUUUCUAUUAAUUGAAAAGUGAACAGGACAAAUAAAGUAAUUUGAAAUUAGUCA